GACGAACGCUGGCGGCGUGCUUAACACAUGCAAGUCGAACGGAAAGGCCCUGCUUUUGUGGGGUGCUCGAGUGGCGAACGGGUGAGUAACACGUGAGUAACCUGCCCUUGACUUUGGGAUAACUUCAGGAAACUGGGGCUAAUACCGGAUAGGAGCUCCUGCUGCAUGGUGGGGGUUGGAAAGUUUCGGCGGUUGGGGAUGGACUCGCGGCUUAUCAGCUUGUUGGUGGGGUAGUGGCUUACCAAGGCUUUGACGGGUAGCCGGCCUGAGAGGGUGACCGGCCACAUUGGGACUGAGAUACGGCCCAGACUCCUACGGGAGGCAGCAGUGGGGAAUAUUGCACAAUGGGCGGGAGCCUGAUGCAGCAACGCCGCGUGCGGGAUGACGGCCUUCGGGUUGUAAACCGCUUUCGCCUGUGACGAAGCGUGAGUGACGGUAAUGGGUAAAGAAGCACCGGCUAACUACGUGCCAGCAGCCGCGGUGAUACGUAGGGUGCGAGCGUUGUCCGGAUUUAUUGGGCGUAAAGGGCUCGUAGGUGGUUGAUCGCGUCGGAAGUGUAAUCUUGGGGCUUAACCCUGAGCGUGCUUUCGAUACGGGUUGACUUGAGGAAGGUAGGGGAGAAUGGAAUUCCUGGUGGAGCGGUGGAAUGCGCAGAUAUCAGGAGGAACACCAGUGGCGAAGGCGGUUCUCUGGGCCUUUCCUGACGCUGAGGAGCGAAAGCGUGGGGAGCGAACAGGCUUAGAUACCCUGGUAGUCCACGCUGUAAACGGUGGGUACUAGGUGUGGGGUCCAUUCCACGGGUUCCGUGCCGUAGCUAACGCUUUAAGUACCCCGCCUGGGGAGUACGGCCGCAAGGCUAAAACUCAAAGGAAUUGACGGGGCCCCGCACAAGCGGCGGAGCAUGCGGAUUAAUUCGAUGCAACGCGUAGAACCUUACCUGGGUUUGACAUGGAUCGGGAGUGCUCAGAGAUGGGUGUGCCUCUUUUGGGGUCGGUUCACAGGUGGUGCAUGGCUGUCGUCAGCUCGUGUCGUGAGAUGUUGGGUUAAGUCCCGCAACGAGCGCAACCCUUGUUCACUGUUGCCAGCACGUUAUGGUGGGGACUCAGUGGAGACCGCCGGGGUUAACUCGGAGGAAGGUGGGGAUGACGUCAAGUCAUCAUGCCCCUUAUGUCCAGGGCUUCACGCAUGCUACAAUGGCUGGUACAGAGAGUGGCGAGCCUGUGAGGGUGAGCGAAUCUCGGAAAGCCGGUCUCAGUUCGGAUUGGGGUCUGCAACUCGACCUCAUGAAGUCGGAGUCGCUAGUAAUCGCAGAUCAGCAACGCUGCGGUGAAUACGUUCCCGGGGCA
rnacentral:rRNA from 1 species